CAAGUCGAACGGCAGCACGGGAGCUUGCUCCUGGUGGCGAGUGGCGAACGGGUGAGUAAUAUAUCGGAACGUGCCCUAGAGUGGGGGAUAACUAGUCGAAAGAUUAGCUAAUACCGCAUACGAUCUAAGGAUGAAAGUGGGGGAUCGCAAGACCUCAUGCUCGUGGAGCGGCCGAUAUCUGAUUAGCUAGUUGGUGAGGUAAAGGCUCACCAAGGCGACGAUCAGUAGCUGGUCUGAGAGGACGACCAGCCACACUGGAACUGAGACACGGUCCAGACCCCUACGGGAGGCAGCAGUGGGGAAUUUUGGACAAUGGGCGCAAGCCUGAUCCAGCAAUGCCGCGUGAGUGAAGAAGGCCUUCGGGUUGUAAAGCUCUUUUGUCAGGGAAGAAACGGGUGAGGCUAAUAUCCUUGCCUAAUGACGGUACCUGAAGAAUAAGCACCGGCUAACUACGUGCCAGCAGCCGCGGU
rnacentral:rRNA from 1 species